AUACCUUUCUCGGGCCUUUUGGCUAAGAUCAAGUGUAGGUAUCUGUUCUUAUCAGUUUAAUAUCUGAUACGUGGGGCCAUUGGGUCCACCCAUGAAUAAUUAAAUUUAAUUUUUGUGGGGAAGGGUCCGUUCACAGUGGCUUGCCACUGGGGCCCUGUUGUCGCCCAAUGCGUUGCACUACCGCACGGGACUGGCGCGCCCCU